AACAGGAGGCACACAACCAUGAUAAACUGUGUGUGUGGGUAUAUUGCAUAUCAGCAGCUGCCAGUGGCUUGAUUUAUUGACUUGUGGAACUGGAUGGGUGUGCUGUAGGGCAGCGACUGUAGUGGCUAAUGACUUCAUCCUUGGAGGACCAUAUGGUUGCAACUAAAUCUAUAUGGGAAAUGGAGCUUCUUCUGGAUUAUUUGCCCAAUAUGUUGCCUUGCUUCCCAAGUAACAGCAGCCCUGGCCUGGGGAAGCAGGACAUAGAGUUCCUGUCUCAAGGACCCACUGACAGCUAUGCAUGUAUAUAUCCCUUCCCCAACGUGUCCCUUCCCAGCCUUAGAUAAUCUUUAUCUCCUCUGUGGGGAGGCUGAGAUUGGGAGGAGUGGUGAGUAAUCUGAGAUCAAGUUCUCACCUGUAAUAUUUACUCCAAAAUCAAUUGCCCUGAAUCCUUUCUAUUCCCUGAAGAGCUGGCUUUUAAAACUCAAAAGCCUUGAAGAGACUCCCCCUUUCCUCCAUUCUUCCAUCACAGCCAUAAGCUCCCCCACAUAGGGACAACUCUGUUUCACUCAGAGUCCUAUCCCCAAUGCCAAGUACAGUGCCUCCUGACUGGCCACAGUGGGCACUCAACAAAGAUUUGUCCAAUAAAUAAAUUUUUGUGUCCCUCUCCCUCCAGUCUGUCCCCUCCCAACCCAUUCAGUAAAUGUCUUCCAGAGGAAUCUUCUAGAAACAUGGUUAUCACUUCACAGCUGAACUGCUGUUCCACUGCUAGCCCAGUCAAGUCUAACCAACUCUGGUUCAAGGUCCCAUCUAAAUGGUUCCACUUUAUUUCCUACCACAUCCAAGUACUUAAGCUGCCUGGCCUGGCAGGCAGUCUGUCGUUCAACCAAUAGUUAUGACUUUCCCGCUAUGUGUCAGGCACUGCGUUAGACUCUGCGAAGCAACAGUGACCACAACAAUGAUGAUCCCUGUCAUCUCGGAGUUUACAGUCUAGCGGAGUAUCCAGACAUCAAACAUUUACUUGUACAUAAUUAAAUGAUUAUAGUUAUUCAGAAUGGUUCAGAGGAGAAUUACAGAGUGCUGUGCGGACUAAAAUUCAGAAGUCAAGAACAAGACUCCAGAGGAAGUACCAUUUAAGGUGAGACUGAAGUUUCCUUUGGAGGGGAUAGGCGGGAAGGGAAGGAGGGACAGUCCGAGUUGACGAAAGUAUUCCAGGCAAAAGCACUGGAACCAGCCAGAGAGGGUAAGUUUGAGGACCUGAAAUGCCAGUGUGGCCGAAGAGAAGUUGAUGACUCGGCCAAAAUCACAGAGCAAAUUGGUAGAAAAGGUAGGACCAGAACAGUUGCUUGGCCAGCGUUAGUUUUCUUCACCCAUCUGCAUCCACGGCUUCUUCACUGGGUCUUUCUAAGGGUAGUCCGAGAAACGCUUGCCCGGGAAUCACGUGGGGCACGCACUGAAAACGCAGGCUCUCUUAAGCAGACCCCAGGAAGAUGCAUUUUAAGAGAUUCUCGCACGCCAAAGUUUGGAAG